rnacentral:rRNA from 1 species
CAGCCGCCGCGGUAAUACGUAGGUGGCAAGCGUUGUCCGGAAUUAUUGGGCGUAAAGGGCUCGCAGGCGGUUUCUUAAGUCUGAUGUGAAAGCCCCCGGCUCAACCGGGGAGGGUCAUUGGAAACUGGGAAACUUGAGUGCAGAAGAGGAGAGUGGAAUUCCACGUGUAGCGGUGAAAUGCGUAGAGAUGUGGAGGAACACCAGUGGCGAAGGCGACUCUCUGGUCUGUAACUGACGCUGAGGAGCGAAAGCGUGGGGAGCGAACAGGAUUAGAUACCCCCGUAGUCCCUGUCUCUUAUAU